rnacentral:rRNA from 1 species
CCUACGGGUGGCUGCAGUGGGGAAUAUUGGGCAAUGGGCGCAAGCCUGACCCAGCAACGCCGCGUGAAGGAAGAAGGCUUUCGGGUUGUAAACUUCUUUUAAGAGGGAAGAGCAGAAGACGGUACCUCUUGAAUAAGCCACGGCUAACUACGUGCCAGCAGCCGCGGUAAUACGUAGGUGGCAAGCGUUGUCCGGAUUUAUUGGGUUUAAAGGGUGCGCAGGCGGAGGCACAAGUCAGCGGUAAAAUCGCGGGGCUCAACCCCGCUCCGCCGUUGAAACUGUGUCCCUUGAGUGCGCGAAGGGUAGGCGGAAUGCGUGGUGUAGCGGUGAAAUGCAUAGAUAUCACGCAGAACUCCGAUCGCGAAGGCAGCCUACCGGCGCGCAACUGACGCUCAUGCACGAAAGCGUGGGUAUCGAACAGGAUUGGAUACCCGAGUAGUC